CCGAGCAACGCCGCGUGAGUGAAGAAGGUUUUCGGAUCGUAAAACUCUGUUGUUAGAGAAGAACAAGGAUGAGAGUAGAAUGUUCAUCCCUUGACGGUAUCUAACCAGAAAGCCACGGCUAACUACGUGCCAGCAGCCGCGGUAAUACGUAGGUGGCAAGCGUUGUCCGGAUUUAUUGGGCGUAAAGCGAGCGCAGGCGGUUUCUUAAGUCUGAUGUGAAAGCCCCCGGCUCAACCGGGGAGGGUCAUUGGAAACUGGGAAACUUGAGUGCAGAAGAGGAGAGUGGAAUUCCAUGUGUAGCGGUGAAAUGCGUAGAUAUAUGGAGGAACACCAGUGGCGAAGGCGGCUCUCUGGUCUGUAACUGACGCUGAGGCUCGAAAGCGUGGGGAGCAAACAGGAUUAGAUACCCUGGUAGUCCACGCCGUAAACGAUGAGUGCUAAGUGUUGGAGGGUUUCCGCCCUUCAGUGCUGCAGCUAACGCAUUAAGCACUCCGCCUGGGGAGUACGACCGCAAGGUUGAAACUCAAAGGAAUUGACG
rnacentral:rRNA from 1 species